GGAGGGAUCGCAUAGAGGCCGAGUGCGGGCGCCUGCUAAGCGCUUACUCCGAGUAAUCGGGGUCGAGGGUUCGAAUCCCUCUCCCUCCG
rnacentral:tRNA from 1 species